GACGAAGGAUCCAAGCGUUAUCCGGAUUCAUUGGGUUUAAAGGGUGCGUAGGCGGGUUUGUAAGUCAGUGGUGAAAGCCGGCAGCUCAACUGUCGAAUUGCCAUUGAUACUGCAGAUCUAGAAUAUAGAUGACGUUGGCGGAAUAUGACAUGUAGCGGUGAAAUGCAUAGAUAUGUCAUAGAACACCGAUUGCGAAGGCAGCUCACUAAAUUGUAACUGACGCUGAGGCACGAAAGCGUGGGGAUCAAACAGG
rnacentral:rRNA from 1 species